UCUGAUUAUUGAAAGGUGCUUGCAUCUUGAUUUAAUUUUGAACGAGUGGCGGACGGGUGAGUAACACGUGGGUAACCUGCCCUUAAGUGGGGGAUAACAUUUGGAAACAGAUGCUAAUACCGCAUAAAUCCAAGAACCGCAUGGUUCUUGGCUGAAAGAUGGCGUAAGCUAUCGCUUUUGGAUGGACCCGCGGCGUAUUAGCUAGUUGGUGAGGUAACGGCUCACCAAGGCAAUGAUACGUAGCCGAACUGAGAGGUUGAUCGGCCACAUUGGGACUGAGACACGGCCCAAACUCCUACGGGAGGCAGCAGUAGGGAAUCUUCCACAAUGGACGCAAGUCUGAUGGAGCAACGCCGCGUGAGUGAAGAAGGCUUUCGGGUCGUAAAACUCUGUUGUUGGAGAAGAAUGGUCGGCAGAGUAACUGUUGUCGGCGUGACGGUAUCCAACCAGAAAGCCACGGCUAACUACGUGCCAGCAGCCGCGGUAAUACGUAGGUGGCAAGCGUUAUCCGGAUUUAUUGGGCGUAAAGCGAGCGCAGGCGGUUUUUUAAGUCUGAUGUGAAAGCCCUCGGCUUAACCGAGGAAGUGCAUCGGAAACUGGGAAACUUGAGUGCAGAAGAGGACAGUGGAACUCCAUGUGUAGCGGUGAAAUGCGUAGAUAUAUGGAAGAACACCAGUGGCGAAGGCGGCUGUCUGGUCUGUAACUGACGCUGAGGCUCGAAAGCAUGGGUAGCGAACAGGAUUAGAUACCCUGGUAGUCCAUGCCGUAAACGAUGAAUGCUAGGUGUUGGAGGGUUUCCGCCCUUCAGUGCCGCAGCUAACGCAUUAAGCAUUCCGCCUGGGGAGUACGACCGCAAGGUUGAAACUCAAAGGAAUUGACGGGGGCCCGCACAAGCGGUGGAGCAUGUGGUUUAAUUCGAAGCAACGCGAAGAACCUUACCAGGUCUUGACAUCUUUUGAUCACCUGAGAGAUCAGGUUUCCCCUUCGGGGGCAAAAUGACAGGUGGUGCAUGGUUGUCGUCAGCUCGUGUCGUGAGAUGUUGGGUUAAGUCCCGCAACGAGCGCAACCCUUAUGACUAGUUGCCAGCAUUUAGUUGGGCACUCUAGUAAGACUGCCGGUGACAAACCGGAGGAAGGUGGGGAUGACGUCAAAUCAUCAUGCCCCUUAUGACCUGGGCUACACACGUGCUACAAUGGAUGGUACAACGAGUUGCGAGACCGCGAGGUCAAGCUAAUCUCUUAAAGCCAUUCUCAGUUCGGACUGUAGGCUGCAACUCGCCUACACGAAGUCGGAAUCGCUAGUAAUCGCGGAUCAGCACGCCGCGGUGAAUACGUUCCCGGGCCUUGUACACACCGCCCGUCACACCAUGAGAGUUUGUAACACCCGAAGCCGGUG
rnacentral:rRNA from 1 species